rnacentral:rRNA from 1 species
ACGUCCUUGAAAAUGCCUGAUCUUGUGAGGUCUUGGAAACUAAGCAAAGAUGUGCCUGGUUAUGACUUGGAUGGGAGACCGCUGGCAAUACCAGGU